AUAACAGUUAGAAAUGACUGCUAAUACCGCAUAAAACAGCAGAGUCGCAUGACUCAACUGUCAAAGAUUUAUCGGUGUAAGAUGGACCCGCGUCUGAUUAGCUAGUUGGUGGGGUAACGGCCUACCAAGGCGACGAUCAGUAGCCGGCCUGAGAGGGUGAACGGCCACAUUGGGACUGAGACACGGCCCAAACUCCUACGGGAGGCAGCAGUGGGGAAUAUUGGACAAUGGGCGAAAGCCUGAUCCAGCGACGCCGCGUGAGCGAUGAAGUAUUUCGGUAUGUAAAGCUCUAUCAGCAGGGAAGAAAACGACGGUACCUGACUAAGAAGCCCCGGCUAACUACGUGCCAGCAGCCGCGGUAAUACGUAGGGGGCAAGCGUUAUCCGGAUUUACUGGGUGUAAAGGGAGCGUAGACGGCAUCACAAGUCAGAAGUGGAAAUCCGGGGCUCAACCCCGGAACUGCUUUUGAAACUGUGGAGCUGGAGUGCAGGAGAGGUAAGCGGAAUUCCUAGUGUAGCGGUGAAAUGCGUAGAUAUUAGGAGGAACACCAGUGGCGAAGGCGGCUUACUGGACUGUAACUGACGUUGAGGCUCGAAAGCGUGGGGAGCAAACAGGAUUAGAUACCCUGGUAGUCCACGCCGUAAAC
rnacentral:rRNA from 1 species